UUGGCAAAUAUUUGAUGAAUUGUAACGUUUUGGUUGUGCUGGCACUGUGGCUUCAUUAGAUGUGUAAAAAAAAUAAUUAAUUGUGACGUGAAAUUUAAGAAAGUUAGGGUUGAAAUAAAAUUUGAAUUUGGGGUAAUUAAUUCUGACUAUCCCUAAUUACUCCCAAAUUGGGAAUUUCCAUUCUCAAAAAUCAAAUGUAGAAAACUUUCUCCUUCCUUGUGCCGCCACCCUCAUGGCCAUCGCUAGCCGUUGUAGAAACCACCACAAAAAUCCAAUC
rnacentral:lncRNA from 1 species